UUCCUUACAGCUUAUAAGGCUACCAGCUCACGUCUACUUUCACCGCAAGAAUACGUUUGUUUCGCCAUACUAAUAAACCAUUUCAAUAUUUAGUCGGGACAGCACUACGAUUCUCAAAAAUAUAGCUGAUAAGAUGAAAUUCGACCGUUAAACAGCACAGGGGAAAUGAAAGCAGCUUGUCCGACAGUUUCGUUUCCGAAACCGCAAUGAUAGGUUAAUUUCUGCCGUUAUAAAAGCAUCCAGCUGAACCGGAUCCCGCUGAUUCUAAUUAAUUUAUAACCCUGCGAAUCCGAACAAAACCAACACUUUUCUCGAAAUAACACUCUCUCUAAAGUGUAGUGUUUUGCUUUUCUCUGUUUUUGGAGAAAUAUAAAAUAAAAAUAAGUUAUUUUUGACACAUACACAACUUGCGCUCGAAUAAGAACUAUUGUUAUAUGCCUUGUUAUUCAAAGCACACUGACACAUGUAAAUGAAUGAAGCUGCUCCUAAUUACUAGGCCUUUACGGAAACCUGAACAAUAGCACGCCCAAAAUGUCAGUGAGAUAAUGUCACUGCGGUUUAACGGAAUCACGUAUUGCAAUCCGCCAAAAGGGCAAAGAACGAUUUAUAGAGCGGUAGCUUCGAGGAAGGAGGUCUGCUCUAUUUUGGUUGUUACGAUGGGACCUAUGCAAAGGUACUGCCGAGUUUAGGAGGCAAAACAUCUGUGUGCAAGUCCAUGUCUCGUUCAAAGAGAGAAGAGUACUAUUGUUCAAAAUUGAUGUAUCUUUCUGUUGAUUAAUUAAAACUAUUUCAUUUUUCAGUAA